rnacentral:rRNA from 1 species
ACAGAGGACAUUACUGAGUUUACGCUCUACACCCUUUGUGAACAUACCUACAACUGUUGCUUCGGCGGGCAGGGUCUCCGUGACCCUCCCGGCCUCCCGCCCCCGGGCGGGUCGGCGCCCGCCGGAGGAUAACCAAACUCUGAUUUAACGACGUUUCUUCUGAGUGGUACAAGCAAAUAAUCAAAACUUUUAACAACGGAUCUCUUGGUUCUGGCAUCGAUGAAGAACGCAGCGAAAUGCGAUAAGUAAUGUGAAUUGCAGAAUUCAGUGAAUCAUCGAAUCUUUGAACGCACAUUGCGCCCGCCAGCAUUCUGGCAUGCAUGCCUGUUCAAGCGUCAUUUCAAGCCUCACUCUCUGCUGGGGGUUCACUGCUGAUGAAAGACCUCAAAGGUAGAGGGGGACCCACCCGCAGGCGGCUUUGCGUACGAACUGUGGGUGGGCACUGGGAAGGGGAAGGAAUCUGGCCUAAAAACACCCAAUUUUUCUAAGGUUG